AAUAAAAACAUUUUUGCAAACUUAUAUUUUACAAUGAAAAUGCAGUAGUACAUGUGUCUAGUUCUCUAAUCAGUCUUCCAUGUUUUUAGUCCUGUGGCCGAAAGGGCCUACUUGAGGUUUACAGGACCCCUGAUCUUCCCACUUGUCCUUUCUGACAAACAUGUUGAUUUUUCUUUUUAUCUUUGUACCUUCUAUACUCUGUGCACUACCACGUGUGUCGUAUCCCCUUUGUGAUAUGCAUAUCUCUCCUAUGGCCUUUUCUGCUCCUCUUGUGCUCCUAGUAUCCCUCCACUACGCACUAGGCCAUCUUGUUCUUCACAUUGUCUGUCUGCAGCACACAUAAUAAAAAUAUUCUCCCAUUGUCUCAGUUUUUGUAUAGCUGCCUGUCUCCUUGAGACUCCAA